GCCAGGAUGGCCGAGUGGUUAAGGCAUUGGACUUAAGAUCCAAUGGACAUGUGCCAUUCGAACGUGGGUUCGAACCCCACUCCUGGUA